UGUACCAGUGUUGUAUUGAGCUGCCUGCUGACCUGUUGUUCAGUUGGCAGCUGUAGCCUAUCACAGUGUCGCCGGCGGUAGCUAGGAACGUGGCCAAUUUUUUUUUUCUCUCCCAUGAUCAUAUUUCAAGUAAGAUGGCAGCCUACACAAUAAAUAAGUAAUAUUGGUAGCCAUUAAGAUGUCACCGUGAUAUAGUCUACUAUUUAAUGGGGAGAGCAUGAACAGCAGCAACACCGGGACACGGUGUCCUCAACCCUGUGUGAUUAGUUCACGUGGCUCUCAGCUGAGCGACAUAUGUCAUCGGUUUUGCAGGCCAGGAGUGUCCGUAUACCCUCUCCCCGCUUGCCAUGUGUUUAAUUUAAACAACAUUGUUCCAUAUAAGGUAACAGCAUUAGUAAACCUGUUCACUUUACCAGUAGUAUGCAAACAUUCGGUGGCACGGGAAAGAAAAUAGACAAUUUGUUGGAAUCGACCCAAGAUGAUGAACCCUGAAGAUGGAACAAAGUGGCCCAAAGGAAGCCAGCUUUUCUCAACCUCUCCAUUGCCCCAUUCUUCCAAGAGCUCACAGAGUUUGAAUGAAGACUUCUAGGUGAGAAGAGCUAGCAAAUCACAACCGAGGAAGAUUAUUACAGAGGAACAUCUGAUGCUGCGCUGACGUUCCUGUCCAAACUGUCUCGUUGUGUGUUUCACCGCCUCUGUACCCCCUUACUCCGAAUAGUUGCCCCUGAUCAUAGAUCAAUUUUAACUUCAAGCUCCUUCUUUGUCCUUUCUCCCCCACACAGAGGCACACGAUAUAGUUUUUAGAUUAGUGUUGUAAAUGAUGCUCUCAUUUGGUUACACUUGUGCUAACUACUGUUGCUUCUAUUGUCAAUUCUGUUGUUAAUUUGUUGUUAAUGUUGUUAUCAAUUUUAAUAAAGGUAUUUUAUGUACAAAUGUAUUGAGAAAAAGGAAGAACCCUGCACACUGCUCUUGAUAGUAUCACUGUCAAAGCUUUGGCGAAGGCCGUGAGGCCGAUACGUAUAGCUUAUUAUUAAAGAGCAGUGAUACUAUCAAGAGCAGUGUGCGGGUUCCUUCUUGUCUUUCAUAUUAUUCAACUGUUGCCAGGCACCUGCAAAAAAGAUGGCUCAGAUGUGCGAGUGCCUUUUGAAUUUUGAUGUACAAAUCGAUUGUUUUUCUUUCUUUAGAUUUCAGGGAGAAUUUCACUGUAAAUGUACAGCAUUUAUCCCGGCACCAUAUUUGCCAGCUUUGUACUGUAAUUUUUUUUUCUUCUUUACAGCAGAGAUGGUGUAAUAUAUUUCACAGUACUAUUUUCUUACUUUAAAACUUUACAGCAUCCCUGUACAUUUACAGCAGGGAUGCUGUAAUAUGUUUUUACAGUCAGGAAAAUAGUACUGCGAAAUAUAUUACAGCAAUCUUCUCCCGGCACAGCCAGAAGAGGACUGGCCACACCUCAGAGCCUGGUUCCUCUCUAGGUUUCUUCCUAGAUUCCAACCUUUCCAGGGAGUUUUUUUUCUAGCCACCGUGCUUCUACAUCUGCAUUGCUUGCCGUUCGUAGUUUUAGUCUGGGUUUCUGGAUAAGCACUUUGAAACAUCUGCUGAUUUAAAAAGGGCUUCAUAAAUAAAUGUCAUUGAUUGACAUACAGCUAAGGGCAUUUAAUUAUUAGUUAGGGAUAUUUCAUUUUAAUCAGGAGGCUCCUUUUCCUGAAAGUAGUCUCCCCUCGCCCACAGGAUACCGAUCUGCCAACCUGCUCGGUGGGUGACUGGUAACCGUCUUUCCACCAAGGCUGUUCCAGGCCUGGAGUUUUACGCUGGAACUUCCAGAGGCUUCUAGACCUGAGGCAGUGUGAUGUGGCCCAGCCAAUUAUCAAACACAUGUAUACACACUCACUCACUCAGUUUUGUUGUAUUAUUAUUUUAAGAAAAUGGUUCCUUUUAGAUCUGACACCCCUAUUAGCUCAACAACAGUCUUCACAGCUGCAGUCGUCUGUCCCUGCAUCUGCUACACCGGCCACGGCAGGUGAUACGGAUCUGCCACCCUCAGCAUUUCAGCUGCAGUCACAGCAGUCCUCUGCUGUGGUAUUUAAUUUACCGGCUGCACCGGUUCCUUCUACAGUAGCCGUGAAGGGAGAAACUUGUCAGGAUUCCCAGAUGGAUUCAGAUCUGCCAUGCACUCCACCACUGCCCAACAGCCUCACCCAGAAGUGCAUACACUAGGCCUAUCGAGACGGACAAAGCAGAGAUGGGUGGCUGACAAGGAAAAAUAAAACAACAUGCACACACACACAUUAUCCAUUCAAAUUGAUACUAGAACAGUAGAUGAUGUAAGGCUAUUAGUAGGCCUAUGUUUAGGUUCUGUCUCAUAAGUUAUUUACAUGCUAUUUUGAAUUUAACGCUGGAAAUGCCAUUGUCCUGUUGGAAGGAAAUAGACAAGAGAGGAAGGGAGUAGAAAAGCAAGCAGAUCCAGAGGUCUGCUGGUUGUAGUUGCUGGGCAGUAUUGGCGGUGACAGUUGUUGCUGCAACAGUUGUUGUAGCUGUCCCAGCAGUGGUAGCCAAUGUGUUGGGUGAUGUUUAGUGUCACUGUUUAAAGAAGGGGGAAACAAUUAAGUGGUUUAUUAAUGAACGUGUCCACUAAAAUAUGUUUAUAUACAAACCAUUUAAAGGCAUAAUAAAAACAUUAUGAUUUGAUGAACAUUUUUAUUUGGCCAUGCUGCUAUUAGCCCAUACCAACGCAUUGAAUAACA